rnacentral:rRNA from 1 species
UACGUAGGGUGCGAGCGUUGCCCGGAUUUAUUGGGCGUAAAGGGCGCGUAGGCGGCCACGCACGUCCGUUUGUGAAAUCGCCCGGCUCAAACUGGGCGGGGUCAGCGGAUACGGUGUGGCUCGAGCAAGCUAGGGGGCAAUGGAAUUCCCGGUGUAGUGGUGGAAUGCGUAGAUAUCGGGAGGAACACCAGUGGCGAAGGCGGUUGCCUGGAGCUUUGCUGACGCUGAGGCGCGAAAGCGUGGGGAGCGAGUCCGG